AAGAAUAUUUUUAUUGGUUAUCUUUUAUACAGUCUCCAAGCAAGCCAAAGAAGGAGGAAAAAUUCAAGAAUUUUGUCAAAUCAAAGUUCCAUCUCGCAGAAACAAAGAAAAUCCAAGAGCUCUGGUCGUGGUAUAAAAGCACCCAACUGAAAUGAAAGUAAAAGAAUGUGAACGUAGCAUAGCAUAUCUAGUCAAAGGACCGUUUAUGAACUGUCAACUCUACGUACCUCAGGCGGGAUGGUGAAGCUGAACAGAGGUUAUGUUCGACAUAAUUUCAUCAAUCAACCAUGGAUUUCGAAAAUCAUUUGAAAAAAAUUAUCUGGAAGAAUUAUGUGAGGAUAAAAGAGGAAAUGUAAUUGUUUUAUUGUGACAGGGAUUUCAUUUAAUGAGAUUUAUGAAAUGUAAUUUUGUUUGGUGAUAACACC